GAUCACACCUCUAACCAUAAAUUCAACCAUUAAAUUAUUAAGAAAUUACCCCUAGUAUAAAGUUCAAAAAAAAUUUUAAAACAUGCAACUACACCCAAAGUUAUUAAUAUGCAAAAUUAUACGACAUAUUUUACAAGAUUGAUCAGUAAAAAAACGAAAGAUAGAUAUGACAACCAAAAUUAUAGUUGUGUAACAUAAAGAUUAACGAGUGAUUAAACAUGAUAAUAGUUAAUAAAUAUUUACAUUAAAAUUAAAUUAAUCCAACCAUUCUUAGUUAUAGCUUGUAGAACAAAAGUGAAGUUUUAGAUUAUCUACCACACGACAACAUUUGUUAGACAUGAUGUUACUACGUUAUUGAAACACUUUGUAGAAAUUAAGAUAAUUUCUAAUCUAAUUAAUUAUCUUAAUUUUAUUUUAAAACAAAGUUUUAUUUAUUGGGUGUUAAUUUAUUUAAAUCUGAAGUUCAAUUGGAUUUGGUGGAAUUGAAAUUAAUUAAGUACAUAUAUAUGGAUUGUUGGGGUGGGUACCUAAGUUUUGCGGUCUUGUAGUCUUGUAGGUUGUAAUUGUAUAAUACAAUCAUUGUAUUUAUCAAAUAAAAUAAAAUAUUUUAUUUUAUUUGACAAAUAAUUGCAUUAACACACAAAACCAAUAAACCAACAUACAAGGUUAUCUUCUGUAACUUAAAUAUGUAUGUGGAGACGUAGAAGUGAAUCAUGUUUAAGUGAUAGUGUAAAUGGUUUAUAGUAAAUGGAUAAGGUUGGUGAUUGCUUGUUGGCUUUAUGAAAAACAAUAGAAGUAAACAACAAAAACUACAAAGGAACAAAAGUAACCAGAAACGUAGAAAGUAAACAACAACAGUGUAGUUUCAAAUGGGGAUGACCGAAUAUGAAAAACAAUAGAAGUAAACAACAAAAACGAUUACAAAAAAUUAUUCACAUAACAUAAAUAAUCACAAAAAAUUAUUCAGACAGUGCAUAACCCUAAUCCUCAUCAUCGACGAAGACAGAAAUUCGAAAUCCAACCACUUACCUCCAACCCUACCUUGCUCGACCAAUUCAAAUGCAGUGGGUGAUAGUAUUCGUAGUGUUGAAUGUGUCUAAAUCAGAGGAAAAAAAAUAACCGAUCGGCAAAUGGGAGUCCAAGCGACAAGGUCGUGUGGAAGUGGAAAACCGAGUCGGAUUGCAUGUUCACCAAGAAAAGUGGUGAACAUGCAAGCACUUCAGUUUCAGAGGCAAAAUGUAAAACACAGCCGUUCAACGAAACCGACAGAAGACCCAUUUGUUUCAGAGGGAACACUGUGAGCAAAGCCUUCAACGAAAAUUGGGAGGACGAAGAGUGGGAGAGAAAGAAAAUUAGAGGAAGAUAGGUUUUUUACUGAGAAGAAAACGACGGCCAAAGAACAACCGGAAUACGUUGAAGGUGAGUUGAAGAAAAAAGGAAAAAGUUUUUUCGGAAAUUAAAUCGAAAUCAAUGUCGUUACAAGGAAUAUUGAAGAGAGGGUAUGAUUUCAAUUGGAAGGAUUAAAUGACUUUAAGGAUGAAGUAGUGUUCAGAGAUUGAAGACGAGUUGCGAGGGAUGAAGAUGAGUUGAGAGGAAGUAAACCGGGGAGAAUUGCGAAUGGAAGACGAAGAAGUAAAGUGUGAAGACGAGUAAU
rnacentral:lncRNA from 1 species